AGCUGAUAGUUAUAUUGUACAUUUAUGUUUAUAUAUUAUAUGCUCAACGCAGUUUACUGCAAGGAGUAUCAGAUGAAUGUGGUGUUUGUUAAUCUUUUUUAUGCAUAUAUAUAUAUAUAUAGUUGAGUGUCCCAGAAUUCAUUCAUCUGCUUCAAAAUUGAGAUUGGUCCUCUCAUCCUUCUCCCCUCCAGUUGGAGACUUGGAAUCUAUUCCUUACUGCUGCAAUACUUUUAGGAUAAUUCAUUUUGGAGCAAUUCAGAGGCUGAGACACAGACAGUAGUUCAGAUUAUAGAUUUCUUUCGGUUUUUGUGGUUCAAAGGGGAAGCGACCCCAGAACGUGCGUAGAAAGCCAUGGUUCAAACGUUGGAGGCGAUCAAGGGUGGUGGAGGGUCCAUGAAGGUUGGAACCACAGGUACGAUUAGUGUGCUAAUGUCGAGAGAAUUAGAAUCUAUGAAGUCUGCUGCUAAGACACCAGCAUCAUCAUCGUGUACAAAGAAGCCUCCUUCGAUUUGUUCUUUCGUUGCUGGUGCUGCUACGAGUCCUAAACGAAUGAGACCCAAAGCGUCGCCAAAUGAAGCCAGCAGCAGCAGCAGCAGAACUAGAAAUGGUAAAGGUCAUAAAAGCCCAGAAGUUGGGCGCAAAACCAAGAACCACACCAGGAAAGCCCACGAAAUUCCUAUUCUAGAACCCGAAACUAGUUCUGUGGAUGAAGCUCCCGUCACACAGAAAUCUGUCAGAAGGGGACUUCGCAUAGUGGAAAUCAUGGACAUAAAAUGCGGGAGCACUGAUAAGCCACAGGCCAGCCCUCUCAAGAAUCCGCUUAAGAAGGUUAGCUUCUCAAAGCUAUCGGGAAGCCCUGUCUGAACCAGAAGGUAGUUGUAUAGUUCAAGUUGUUUUGCCCAAAUUCAAGAUAAAAGGGGUAAAUAUGAAUCAUGGCUAUACAUUUUAACAUUGAAGAGAAAUCGAUUACAGAGGGAAGCUUAGUACAAA